rnacentral:snRNA from 1 species
ACUCCGCAGUUAAGCGUGC